AUUGAACGCUGGCGGCAGGCCUAACACAUGCAAGUCGAACGGUAGCACAGAGAGCUUGCUCUCGGGUGACGAGUGGCGGACGGGUGAGUAAUGUCUGGGAAACUGCCCGAUGGAGGGGGAUAACUACUGGAAACGGUAGCUAAUACCGCAUAAUGUCGCAAGACCAAAGAGGGGGACCUUCGGGCCUCUUGCCAUCGGAUGUGCCCAGAUGGGAUUAGCUUGUAGGUGAGGUAACGGCUCACCUAGGCGACGAUCCCUAGCUGGUCUGAGAGGAUGACCAGCCACACUGGAACUGAGACACGGUCCAGACUCCUACGGGAGGCAGCAGUGGGGAAUAUUGCACAAUGGGCGCAAGCCUGAUGCAGCCAUGCCGCGUGUAUGAAGAAGGCCUUCGGGUUGUAAAGUACUUUCAGCGGGGAGGAAGGGAGUGAGGUUAAUAACCUUAUUCAUUGACGUUACCCGCAGAAGAGGCACCGGCUAACUCCGUGCCAGCAGCCGCGGUAAUACGGAGGGUGCAAGCGUUAAUCGGAAUUACUGGGCGUAAAGCGCACGCAGGCGGUCUGUCAAGUCGGAUGUGAAAUCCCCGGGCUCAACCUGGGAACUGCAUUCGAAACUGGCAGGCUGGAGUCUUGUAGAGGGGGGUAGAAUUCCAGGUGUAGCGGUGAAAUGCGUAGAGAUCUGGAGGAAUACCGGUGGCGAAGGCGGCCCCCUGGACAAAGACUGACGCUCAGGUGCGAAAGUGUGGGGAGCAAACAGGAUUAGAUACCCUGGUAGUCCACGCUGUAAACGAUGUCGACUUGGAGGUUGUUCCCUUGAGGAGUGGCUUCCGGAGCUAACGCGUUAAGUCGACCGCCUGGGGAGUACGGCCGCAAGGUUAAAACUCAAAUGAAUUGACGGGGGCCCGCACAAGCGGUGGAGCAUGUGGUUUAAUUCGAUGCAACGCGAAGAACCUUACCUACUCUUGACAUCCAGAGAACUUAGCAGAGAUGCUUUGGUGCCUUCGGGAACUCUGAGACAGGUGCUGCAUGGCUGUCGUCAGCUCGUGUUGUGAAAUGUUGGGUUAAGUCCCGCAACGAGCGCAACCCUUAUCCUUUGUUGCCAGCGGUCCGGCCGGGAACUCAAAGGAGACUGCCAGUGAUAAAUUGGAGGAAGGUGGGGAUGACGUCAAGUCAUCAUGGCCCUUACGAGUAGGGCUACACACGUGCUACAAUGGCAUAUACAAAGAGAAGCGACCUCGCGAGAGCAAGCGGACCUCAUAAAGUAUGUCGUAGUCCGGAUUGGAGUCUGCAACUCGACUCCAUGAAGUCGGAAUCGCUAGUAAUCGUGGAUCAGAAUGCCACGGUGAAUACGUUCCCGGGCCU
rnacentral:rRNA from 1 species